rnacentral:lncRNA from 1 species
GCGGAUAAAAUAAGUUUGGAUCAUCGGAUGAUAGCAGGGCGAAGUAGAUAAGAUAAUGGAAGUUACUAAGCGCUUGGGCUUGCACGAAUUACUGUGCCCUGACAGUCGAGCAAUCCUCAUCGCCCGCCGCCGUCGUGAGCCUGGACGAAAAUAAGUGAAAAUGCAAGUGUCUAGCUCAAGUCGCGGCGCUGUUUGACAACACAUACUUUCCGUGUUUAUUCAUAUCCUAUACAUGUGUUGAGUAACGGGUCUACAAUAGAGGUCUUUAUCUACCGUCGUAAGCUAGUGCGCGUGUCCUUCGUUUUAAUUGCGUCAUUCGGGUAUGGUUGUUUUUUCGUUGUGUUAACGGUGUAUGAACACAGUUCGGAACACCAUAAGUCAACGACAAGGUUUUUCUGGCUUUUCGUUGAAUUUUGAUAUUUUUCCUCCAUCUCUUUUUCCUGGAAAUGAAAAGGACCCUGUCAAAGUGUCAACGGUGAACUUUUGAGGAGGGCCAAGGAAACCGUGACUAGGCCAAUGAUCCUGCUCGUCUGCAACCACGACCACAGGACGAGGCGGCCUUUGGAGUUUGGCAGCGGCCGCCGACGCGAUGGCCUCGGGAGGUGAGACCACCCUCCGAAGAUCCCUUCUGCGGGCCGUCAAACACCGCCGCAAUGGAUCCGCCAUGGGCCCGCUCCGAAAACGCCACUGUUUCAUAUUUCUCUGUUCACUCGCGAUCGUGACAAUAUACCAUGUCCAGAAAGAAAUAUUCCGUCCAAGACUAGAAAGACUGGUGUAUUACGAGGGCACCGAAUCACCGGAGGAAAGCGUAACCUGCCGAUUUCCAAUUUUACAUCCGUUCGAAAAGUCCAUCCUUCACUUAAUAAGUGUGGCUCCACCCGUCAGGUGCCCGCAGCGGAACUUGAUCCUGACGCAGAUCGACAGGGACGGUCGACUAAGUUUCAACCGGACGGCCCUGCAGCUUCUGGGUUACGACGAGGAUGCUUCGAGUUUGGACUGCUACUAUCAGGAGAUCAGCCGGGCUCCAGAGGAUGACUUCAACGUUGUCUACGGUGAGAAGGUGCCCCUCACAGACACCCACAUCCCCACCGAGGACUUCAUCUAUGUCGAGUGCGAUCACAGACUCACCAGGAUACCCGUCUACAGGAAUUUCCACGCCUACGCAGGAGACACCCGAGUGUGCGCCGCUUCAAGGUAAGCGGUGAAGUGUGAAAACUUUAAGAAAUAAGUAAAUCUAGCUCCUUGUACUUCAAAAAGAAAGCAUAUUGAU